rnacentral:lncRNA from 1 species
CAGUAGAACCACAGUAGUUAGUGAGGGCACCAACUACAAGGACCCUUUUGUUUGUCCCAUCAUCAUGCCCUCUGGCUGCUUUCCUGGUGGACUUUUACAUCUCUUGCAGCCUUGCUGACCUUCCUCUGGACUCAUUGUGCAGCUGUGCAACGCCAAGGUCACAGUCGAAAGAUGUCUCCGAUGAAGAUUUGGCUGUGCAAAUGAGCAAGCUGCUUGUGAAGAAAGUUCUACCUGAAACAGGUCAGUAAUAUUUACAUAAUUUUGUUCUUCUGAUUUGGGGGGCAGUUUUUUUUUGUGAAAUAGUAUAGAGUUCAGUUUCUUAAGAGUUAUUUAUAGGAAAUCUUAUUUAAAGUUUUACUUAAGUUGGCAAGAACAAAGCUGGAUCCAAACAUUCUUUAGGCUUGGACAAAAUGUUAUGUGGAAUAUCUUGUCUGGUUUUCUGUAACUUUAGAGGUACUUAAAGCUUGUGUGUGUGGAAAUUUUUAAAGCCCAGUUGCAAACUAGCUGCUGAAUAUUUUCUCUAGGUUUUAAUGUCUCUGUGUACUUAUUUCUGUUAGAGCAACUAGGUCUGGUCUGGUCUCCAUGUAUGGAUUUUUGGGAUGGCUUGAGUAUGUUGCAGUGCUGUGUGCUAGUAGAUUGCAAAUAUCUCUGAAUAGCUCAAUGUUUUAAAGAAGAUUUCUGGGUUGGCCUUUUGCUGCUAGGAGAGGCAGACUCAACUGUAGUCAAAGAGACUUCUGCUCUGUGGCUGCUGUUUCAGAUUAAUUUGUGCCUUUUCUUGGUCUACAUAACCAUCUGACAAAAGUCGUACUGAAAACAUGCAUGGUAGAAUGAUGUGAUUCCAUAACACUCACGUUCCUGCUGUUUUUUUCUCAAAUAUUGAAAACAAAUAUUUUGCUAGUGUCUUUAUGUCUCCUACUAGA